rnacentral:rRNA from 1 species
GAGUUUGAUCCUGGCUCAGGAUGAACGCCGGCGGUGUGCCUAAUACAUGCAAGUCGUACGCACUGGCCCAACUGAUUGAUGGUGCUUGCACCUGAUUGACGAUGGAUCACCAGUGAGUGGCGGACGGGUGAGUAACACGUAGGCAACCUGCCCCGGAGCGGGGGAUAACAUUUGGAAACAGAUGCUAAUACCGCAUAACAACAAAAGUCACAUGGCUUUUGUUUGAAAGAUGGCUUUGGCUUAUCACUCUGGGAUGGACCUGCGGUGCAUUAGCUAGUUGGUAAGGUAAUGGCUCACCUAGGCGACAUACAUAGCCGACCUGAGAGGGUGAUCGGCCAC